rnacentral:rRNA from 1 species
AUACGAAGGGGGCAAGCGUUGUUCGGAAUAACUGGGCGUAAAGCGCACGUAGGCGGAAUGUUACGUUAGAGGUGAAAUCCCAGGGCUCAACCCUGGAACUGCCUUUAAUACUGGCAAUCUAGAGACCGAGAGAGGUGAGUGGAAUUCCGAGUGUAGAGGUGAAAUUCGUAGAUAUUCGGAGGAACACCAGUGGCGAAGGCGGCUCACUGGCUCGGUACUGACGCUGAGGUGCGAAAGCGUGGGGAGCAAACAGGAUUAGAAACCCUAGUAGUCC